rnacentral:misc_RNA from 1 species
UGUGGGAGCGAGCUUGCUCGCGAUGGCGUCAGCACAAUCAACAUUACCGUUGCCUGUGAAGCCGCAAUCGCGAGCAAGCUCGCUCCCACA